CGAUCAUUAUUUCUUCCAUCUCCUUUCCUUUCCUCUAUCACCGCUAGGUUUCCUCUCUCCCACCCCUUCUUUCCUUUCGUAUUUGCAGCGCACCAGGUUCUUCCCUCUUCACAGUAAGCAAGGAGUUCAAAGGUAACCCUAUAUCUUAUUUCUUCCCUCUCCGCAGCACCGUGCGUAACCUCGCCAGGCGAUGAGAGGAUGCUUUAGGUGCGACCACACUCAAGGGGGUCGCAGCCUCUCUAGACCACUAGUUUACUAGCAGUCGAUUUGCGAAUGGCUACACGCGAGGGGGUCGAUGCCUCACGAGGCAGCCCGUUCACAAACGGUUGCACACGAGGGGGUCUAAGCAGUGGCCUGUAGCGAGGCAACGACAUCGUUAUCUGCUUCUGAAACUCUCGUGUUUUUCCAUCUCCAUAUACUGGUAAGCUUUUCAAGAAGAUGGAAUUGCACAAGCUAGCAGAUAUGCUACUGAGGAUUCAAUUAAGUCAUGGCUUAAUGAAUUACUUUGCUUGGAUGUUGCAAGUUACAUUCCAAAUAUCACUAUGUUAGUAUUCUUGAUGAAAAGUAAAUAAUUGUUUUUCAGGUCAUUCUCUAAAUGAUCUUUUAUUUGUCUAGACUUCCACAUCCAAGUGAAUGUGCCCUUUACUAUGUCAAUCGAGAUAUACUUUUCUAAUAUCACAAGGAGAGUGAGAUAUGUUUAUAGGUACUUUUAUUUGGUUAAAUUUGUGCUAUUUUUUCAUUUAUAUUACAGGGCAUGAUUUCCCUUUAUGCUGCUUCUCACUACAAAAAGUCACCUAAUGACUUACAAGUUACAAUUGAUGGUUUGUCUCUCCAUUGUGGAAUUCAAUGAUAUUUUUUCUCCUCAUAGAGAGAAGACUACACUUGAGCAUGAGCCUAGCUUACUGGCAAACUGCUGAAGGAGGCAGAUAAAGAAAUUGGUCAUCAGAAAACGAUUACCUCCCUAUCAAAAUCUGCAGAUGACUCUCAUUUUCUAACAGGUUCAUCAGAUAAGUUUGCCAAGAGAUUUAGACCCCCAUCUUCAUGCACAUGGCUAACUGUACUGAUGAUGCAACAUAGAAACAGGUAAUUUGCUGCAGUUCCACUUAAUUAACACUUUCACUGCAUAUCAACCCACCUUGUGUUUGUCUGCUUCAUUGAUUGCGUGGUGAUGGUGAAUUUUAUAGCUUUUGCUCCUUAUUUUAUUAUGUCUAUUAGCCAUGUGCAUACAAAGGGCACAAUUGCAUUCUUGCUUAUGAGAUUUGGAAGAUGGCAGCAGAGGUAGUACAAUAAAUAGUAUAUCUCUUCAUUUGUUUGUUAACUAUGAACAUUUUCUUUGUUCUUCUAUGCUUCCUUCACUGGAUUUGUUGUGUAGUCAUAUUUCUUUGUUCAACCAUUAUCAUGCCUAGUAAUUUGUUGUAUGAUGCUAUCGGUUCUUAUCAAUCUCUACACUUUAAUUAGAAGGAGAAAAUUAUCUAUGUUAUAUUCUAAGCAACAUAUACUAAGUGUCAUAUAUGAAAGUUUUAGAUUUUACAAUGAUUUUUUUGUGCUAAAUUGCAUAUGUAUAUGUGUAUUGGUGUGUAUGCGGAUGCGCGCAAUUAUCCUUCAAUGAAUUAAGCAUUAUGAACAAUAGUCUUCCACAACAACCUUUAAAAACUCAGUAUUCUAUUUUAUUUGAUACAUGUAUAUAUUUGUUUUAGUUAUUUGACAUAUGGUGGAUUAUUGGGUCCUGAUCAUGAAUUAACUUUGUAUAAAGUAUUGUAGAUUAUCUUUGUUGCAAGUAUCAAUUAGAAAGGGACUUUCUUUGGUUUAGAUAUUUUGCAUUCCAAAUUUAGUUUAUUGGUAGUUCUCAUUGCAAAAUCAGACUGAAAAGCUUUCAAAAAUGCUUGAUUUGAAGUGUUAGAAGGAUAGAGAUCAGAAAAACUAGACUGGCCUCGUUAGAGCUAGAGUAGAUAUUUGGAAAAAAAAUAAAUAAAUCAAAAUUGCAUCUUUACCAUUUUCAGCUUUCGAAAUUGCAUCUUUACCAUUUCCAGCUUUCAAAAUUGCAUCUUUACUAAUAUAUUAUUUAUGUGU